rnacentral:rRNA from 1 species
AAGAUUAAGCCAUGCAAGUCUAAGUAUAAGCGUUAUACAGUGAAACUGCGAAUGGCUCAUUAAAUCAGUUAUAGUUUAUUUGAAGAUAAUACCAUUAGGAUAACCGUGGUAAUUCUAGAGCUAAUACUUGCUUUCUAGGCUUUAUUAGAUAUGAAUCACAAUAACUUCAGAUCGAUUGACGCUUCAUUCAAAUUUCUGCCCUAUCAGCUAGAUGGCACGGUAUUGG